UCGCCCUUAGAGUUUGAUCCUGGCUCAGAUUGAACGCUGGCGGAACGCUUUACACAUGCAAGUCGAACGGUAACGCGGAGAGAAGCUUGCUUCUCUCCGGCGACGAGUGGCGAACGGGUGAGUAAUACAUCGGAACGUGUCCGCUCGUGGGGGACAACCAGCCGAAAGGUUGGCUAAUACCGCAUGAGUUCUACGGAAGAAAGAGGGGGACCCGCAAGGGCCUCUCGCGAGCGGAGCGGCCGAUGACUGAUUAGCCUGUUGGUGAGGUAACGGCUCACCAAAGCAACGAUCAGUAGCUGGUCUGAGAGGACGACCAGCCACACUGGGACUGAGACACGGCCCAGACUCCUACGGGAGGCAGCAGUGGGGAAUUUUGGACAAUGGGCGCAAGCCUGAUCCAGCUAUUCCGCGUGUGGGAUGAAGGCCCUCGGGUUGUAAACCACUUCUGUAGAGAACGAAAAGACACCUUCGAAUAAAGGGUGUUGCUGACGGUACUCUAAGAAUAAGCACCGGCUAACUACGUGCCAGCAGCCGCGGUAAUACGUAGGGUGCGAGCGUUAAUCGGAAUUACUGGGCGUAAAGGGUGCGCAGGCGGUUGAGUAAGACAGAUGUGAAAUCCCCGAGCUUAACUCGGGAAUGGCAUAUGUGACUGCUCGACUAGAGUGUGUCAGAGGGAGGUGGAAUUCCACGUGUAGCAGUGAAAUGCGUAGAUAUGUGGAAGAACACCGAUGGCGAAGGCAGCCUCCUGGGACAUAACUGACGCUCAGGCACGAAAGCGUGGGGAGCAAACAGGAUUAGAUACCCUGGUAGUCCACGCCCUAAACGAUGUUAACUAGUUGUUGGGAAGUAAUAUUCUCAGUAACGCAGCCAACGCGAGAAGUUAACCGCCUGGGAAGUACGGUCGCAAGACAUUAACUCAAAUGAAUUGACGAAGGGCGAAUUC
rnacentral:rRNA from 1 species